UAAUACGUAGGGGGCAAGCGUUGUCCGGAAUUAUUGGGCGUAAAGAGCGUGUAGGCGGCCAGAUAAGUCCGCUGUGAAAUCUCGAGGCUCAACUUCGAGCUGUCGGUGGAAACUAUCUGGCUAGAGUCCGGAAGAGGAGAAUGGAAUUCCUGGUGUAGCGGUGAAAUGCGCAGAUAUCAGGAAGAACACCCGUGGCGAAGGCGGUUCUCUGGGACGGUACUGACGCUGAGACGCGAAAGCGUGGGGAGCGAACAGGAUUAGAUACCCUGGUAGUCCACGCCGUAAACGAUGGGUGCUAGGUGUGGGCGGUGUCGACUCCGUCCGUGCCGAAGCUAACGCAUUAAGCACCCCGCCUGGGGAGUACGGCCGCAAGGCUA
rnacentral:rRNA from 1 species